GCUGGGCAUAGUGGUGCAUGCCAGUAAUCCAGCAACUCAGGAGGCUGAGGCAGGAGGAUGGCUAGUUCAAAGCAAGCCUCAGCAAAAGUGAGGCACUAAGCAACUCAGUGAGACCCUGUCUCUA
rnacentral:sRNA from 1 species